rnacentral:rRNA from 1 species
UACGUAGGUGGCAAGCGUUGUCCGGAUUUACUGGGCGUAAAGGGCGCGUAGGCGGCCUUCUAAGUCGAACGUGAAAUCCCACGGCUCAACCGUGGAACUGCGUCUGAUACUGGAUGGCUUGAAUCCGGGAGAGGGAUGUGGAAUUCCAGGUGUAGCGGUGAAAUGCGUAGAUAUCUGGAGGAACACCGGUGGCGAAGGCGGCAUCCUGGACCGGUAUUGACGCUGAGGCGCGAAAGCCAGGGGAGCAAACGGG